rnacentral:lncRNA from 1 species
UCACAUCUUGCCUUCUAUUAAAGGAGGGUGGGCUUGAGUGUUUCCGUGCUGAAGGGACAGUGUGAGGAGAGCAGCUCAGUGUGGUUGAUAAGUAGGCCCCAAGGGUGCAGGCCUGAGGUCUUGGGGAGAGGCCAUGGGCUCUGCCGAGGGUGGGAGGAAGGCGAGGGCCCAAAGGACCGGUCCUGGUGCUUCCUUGUGUUGUGGAUAGGUCUUUGAGAUUAACUAGAUCCGGAUGAAGGGUUUUCACGAGGGACAUACACUGUGUGGGGCCUUGGUGUGAGGCUCCUGGGUACCUGUUAGGACCUUGCCUCCAUCCGUGUGGUGCCCAGUUUUGCUGGUUCUCAGGGGUUCCCCGGCUGCAUGUUAGAAUCCUGGUUUCUGUUCUGAUUCUCCUUCCAGGUGGGUGAAGAGGGACAGUUAUCUUCCCGUGGGCAGCCAUAACCUCAAGGCGGCUGCCAAGGCCAAGCUGGGCUAUGAUCCUGUGGAGCUGGACCCGGAGGACAUGUGCCGCAUGGCCACCGAGCAGCCCCAGACGCUGGCCACGUACUCCGUGUCAGACGCCGUCGCCACUUACUACCUGUACAUGAAGUACGUCCACCCCUUCAUCUUCGCUCUGUGCACCAUUAUUCCCAUGGAGCCCGACGAGGUGCUGCGGAAAGGCUCUGGCACUCUGUGCGAGGCCUUGCUGAUGGUGCAGGCCUUCCACGCCAACAUCAUCUUCCCCAACAAGCAGGAGCAGGAGUUCAAUAAGCUAACGGACGAUGGACACGUGCUGGACUCCGAGACCUACGUGGGGGGCCACGUGGAGGCCCUCGAGUCUGGGGUCUUCCGCAGUGAUAUCCCUUGCCGGUUUAGGAUGAAUCCCGCCGCCUUUGAUUUCCUGCUGCAGCGGGUUGAGAAGACCUUGCGUCACGCCAUUGAGGAAGAAGAGAAGGUGCCCGUGGAACAAGUCACCAACUUUCAAGAGGUAACCGUCCAGGAGGCAGGAGGAGCUAGUCUGUUCAUGCGCCUUCUUCACAAACCACGUCUUUCAGCAGCACAUUCGUUGUGCGUCUGCUGCGUGUGGUGCUGUGGACGGAUGACACAGGGUCUCUGGUGGGACAGGGCAGUCAUGGUUGUGACGUGUGAUGCUUUCUACCGAGGUCGGAGGGCUUCAUGAGAAGGUGGGGUGUGAGCUGCUCCUGAAAUGUGGUCACACGGCAGGUGGGCCCUGGUGGGAUGUGUUCGUGCCCCGUUUUAAGGCAUUGGGACUUUAUUUCGUAGGCAUUGGGGAGACAUUGGA